rnacentral:rRNA from 1 species
AACGAACGCUGGCGGCAUGCCUAACACAUGCAAGUCGAACGAGACCUUCGGGUCUAGUGGCGCACGGGUGCGUAACGCGUGGGAAUCUGCCCUUGGGUUCGGAAUAACAGCGAGAAAUUGCUGCUAAUACCGGAUGAUGACGUAAGUCCAAAGAUUUAUCGCCCAAGGAUGAGCCCGCGUAGGAUUAGCUAGUUGGUGAGGUAAAGGCUCACCAAGGCGACGAUCCUUAGCUGGUCUGAGAGGAUGAUCAGCCACACUGGGACUGAGACACGGCCCAGACUCCUACGGGAGGCAGCAAUGGGGAAUAUUGGACAAUGGGCGAAAGCCUGAUCCAGCAAUGCCGCGUGAGUGAUGAAGGCCUUAGGGUUGUAAAGCUCUUUUACCCGGGAUGAUAAUGACAGUACCGGGAGAAUAAGCUCCGGCUAACUCCGUGCCAGCAGCCGCGGUAAU